GAUGAACGCUGGCGGCGUGCCUAAUACAUGCAAGUCGAGCGAACGGACGAGAAGCUUGCUUCUCUGAUGUUAGCGGCGGACGGGUGAGUAACACGUGGAUAACCUACCUAUAAGACUGGGAUAACUUCGGGAAACCGGAGCUAAUACCGGAUGAUAUUUUGAACCGCAUGGUUCAAAAGUGAAAGACGGUCUUGCUGUCACUUAUAGAUGGAUCCGCGCUGCAUUAGCUAGUUGGUAAGGUAAUGGCUUACCAAGGCAACGAUGCAUAGCCGACCUGAGAGGGUGAUCGGCCACACUGGAACUGAGACACGGUCCAGACUCCUACGGGAGGCAGCAGUAGGGAAUCUUCCGCAAUGGGCGAAAGCCUGACGGAGCAACGCCGCGUGAGUGAUGAAGGUCUUCGGAUCGUAAAACUCUGUUAUUAGGGAAAAACAUAUGUGUAAGUAACUGUGCACAUCUUGACGGUACCUAAUCAGAAAGCCACGGCUAACUACGUG
rnacentral:rRNA from 1 species